CCGCGCCAGGUGUUUUGGCACAUAGAGUUUUGGUUUCUAAGGACGGGCAAUUGCUCGGGUGUGGU
rnacentral:tRNA from 1 species